ensembl:lncRNA
CAGGGCUUUCAGGGGCCAGAAAUAGAGAAGAUUGGCCUUUCCAUUUUCUGUCUUCUAUGAUUACAGAUGCAAUGCCCCUUACUGGAUUUUAUGCAUAUAAAUGUGUUUAUAUCUCAAUGAAUAACAAAGCAUCUUUACAAGAUAUAGACAAAUAUCACAUGGUUGAAAAUACAGGACAGUUUAUCAAGCUUCCUUCGCUCAUCAAAGACAGAGAAAAGGCCUAUCCACUUCACAAAUUGAAGAUGGUCAGAGGGUGAAGCAAAAUUAGCAUGUGUGUCUCUAAUUGCUCAAUCAUGUCUUUGAGAAAAUCACUGCAAAUGACUCUCUUUCUUUGCAGGAAUAAUCGUGCACCUGCUUUUCAAAACGCAAAAGCUGGUUUUGCCUUUGUGUGUAAAAUGCGAUUAGAAGAAUUUGGGGAUC